rnacentral:rRNA from 1 species
AGAGUUUGAUCCUGGCUCAGAACGAACGUUGGCGGCGUGGAUUAGGCAUGCAAGUCGAACGCGAACGCUCCCUUCGGGGAGCUAGUAGAGUGGCGAACGGGUGAGUAACGCGUGGGGAACCUGCCUGGGAGUGGGGGAUAACCUUCCUAACGGAGGGCUAAUACCGCAUGUGGAGACGAGAUCGCAUGGUCCUGUCUUCAAAGAUGGCCUCUGCUCGCAAGCUGUCGCUACCAGAUGGUCCCGCGUCCUAUUAGCUUGUUGGUGGGGUAACGGCUCACCAAGGCUCCGAUGGGUAGCCGGCCUGAGAGGGUGUCCGGCCACACUGGGACUGAGAUACGGCCCAGACUCCUACGGGAGGCAGCAGUCGAGAGGCUUCGGCAAUGGGGGAAACCCUGACCGAGCGACGCCGCGUGGAGGAUGAAGGCUUUCGGGUCGUAAACUCCUGUCAGCAGGGAAGAAAGGCAGAGCGGUCAAUAUCCGCCUUGUUUGACGGUACCUGCAGAGGAAGCUCCGGCUAACUCCGUGCCAGCAGCCGCGGUAAUACGGGGGGAGCAAACGUUGUUCGGAUUCACUGGGCGUAAAGGGGAAGUAGGCGGCCACAUAAGUGGGGCGUGAAAUCCUUCGGCUCAACCGAAGACCUGCGCUCCAAACUGUGUGGCUUGAGUCCGGGAGGGGAGACGGGAAUUCCUGGUGUAGCGGUGAAAUGCGCAGAUAUCAGGAAGAACACCGGCGGCGAAGGCGCGUCUCUGGACCGGUACUGACGCUAAAUUCCGAAAGCGUGGGGAGCAAACAGGAUUAGAUACCCUGGUAGUCCACGCCGUAAACGAUGGGCACUAGGUGUGGGGAGUAUCGACCCUCUCCGUGCCGCAGCUAACGCAUUAAGUGCCCCGCCUGGGGAGUACGGCCGCAAGGCUGAAACUCAAAGGAAUUGACGGG